rnacentral:rRNA from 1 species
CCUCCUUUUUCCCUCUUUCCUCUGCAUUACUGGGCGUAAAGGGUGCGUAGGCGGUUCGUUAAGUCUGUCGUGAAAUCCCCGGGCUCAACCUGGGAAUGGCGAUGGAUACUGGCGAGCUAGAGUGUGUCAGAGGAUGGUGGAAUUCCCGGUGUAGCGGUGAAAUGCGUAGAGAUCGGGAGGAACAUCAGUGGCGAAGGCGGCCAUCUGGGACAACACUGACGCUGAAGCACGAAAGCGUGGGGAGCAAACAGGA